CACCAUGGCUGACUGAGUAGCAGCACAUACAUAACGUGGUCAACACUCCAUUAAAGACUCAGAGCCUGCGACUUCAGUGAGCUCUCCGAGGCAUAGCCACUCCACAAAUGUCACUGCAGGAGAGAAAGCACACCCUCGGUGCCUCAGAUGAAGAAGGACUCAGAAGCCCUUCCUGACCUACUUGUAUUCCACCAACAUUCUCACAAGGUGAAGUCAAGAUGUGGAGUGGGUACAUUCUCAUUGGAGUUCCUGAUCCUCUUCUGGCUCACUCAAGCUUUGCUCUUUGCUAUGGCCUAAUGAAGCAGAAGAAGAUGGCCCAAGUCCUUGGGCCCCUGCACCAGUGUGGGAGACCCGGAAGAAGCUCCUGGCUCCUGGCUUCAGAUCGGCACAGCUCCAGCUGUUGCGGCCAGCUGGGGAGUGAAUCAGUGGAUAGAAGACCUGUUUCUCUCUCUGCCUCUCCUUCUCUCUCUAUGUAACUCUGACUUUCAAAUAAAUAAAGAAAACUUUUUUAAA